UUAGCUCAUAUUUGUAUGGAAUGGGAUCGUUUGCGUACGUUUGCCGCUAGGGGCGCUGUUCCAACUGCUUACAAAAUUGGGUUA
rfam:Bombyx mori DNA, contig: Bm_scaf355_contig42755, strain: p50T/Dazao, build 2, whole genome shotgun sequence.